GACGAGGUGGCCGAGUGGUUGAGGCGUUGCACUGCUAAUGCAAUGUGCUCUGCACGCGUGGGUUCGAAUCCCAUCCUCGUCG
rnacentral:tRNA from 1 species